rnacentral:rRNA from 1 species
AGAGGCCCCAAGCGUUACUGAGAAUCACUGGGUUUAAAGGGUGCGUAGGUGGCGCGUUAAGUCCGUUGUGAAAGCCCUGGGCUCAACCCAGGAACUGCUUCGGAUACUGGCGCGCUUGAGGCUAGUAGGGGUCACUGGAACUGACGGUGGAGCGGUGAAAUGCGUAGAUAUCGUCAGGAACGCCAAUGGUGAAGACAGGUGACUGGGCUAGUUCUGACACUGAGGCACGAAAGCGUGGGGAGCGAACGGGAUUAGAUACCCCGGUAGUCCACGCCCUAAACGAUGCAGACUAGACUGCAGCGGGUUACACCCCGUUGCGGUCGGAGCGAAAUUGUUAAGUCUGCCACCUGGGAAGUACGGUCGCAAGGCUA